AUUGAACGCUGGCGGCAGGCCUAACACAUGCAAGUCGAGCGAGCGGCGGACGGGUGAGUAAUGUCUGGGAAACUGCCUGAUAGAGGGGGAUAACUACUGGAAACGGUAGCUAAUCCCGCAUACCAUCAGAUGUGCCCAUAUGGGAUUAGCUCGUAGGUGGGGUAACGGCUCCCCUAGGCGACGAUCCCUAGCUGGUCUGAGAGGAUGACCAGCCACACUGGAACUGAGACACGGUCCAGACUCCUAAGGGAGGCAGCAGUGGGGAAGAUUGCACAAUGGGCGCAAGCAUGAUGCAGCCAUGCCGCGUGUGUGAAGAAGGCCUUCGGGUUGUAAAGCACUUUCAGCGGGGAGGCGUUACCCACAGAAGAAGCACCGGCUAACUCCGUGCCAGCCGCCGCGGUAAUAC
rnacentral:rRNA from 1 species